AGCUCAACAAAAGAAAGAAUACAGUCCUGGAAUGCCUGCUUCCUUUGAUGGCUAUAUAUGCAUCCGACGAAGUCUGAGCCUGUGCUGCACAAGCAGAGACACAUCACUUCAAAGAACUCCAGCUGAUACAAAGCCUGAAAAUUUCUAAGGCAUUACUCCUUUGAAGUCCUGCAAGACAUGUAUGUAACUGUGGUCAUCUCCUUGUCUCUCUUUUAAGGACUAAUCACUUUGGGGAGAGGAAGUCAUCACAUCAACAACCAGACCACUCCAGCCUUUGUCCUGGCCUCAUGCACCUGAAGAAGAACUGCUAGCAAGAAGUUCUGUGCCAGCAAUGUCAUCUGGCUCUUUGAUUGCAGUUCCAGCUCCAUUCCAUGAGAGUCUAGAAAAUUGAGAGCCGAAGAGUUUGAAACCUCCCCCUAACCUAAGAACCAGAAAGCAAUGAACUGUGAACAACAGAGAAUAAUGGAGAGUUCUGCUUCAAAACUGAGAGCAGGUGCCCCUUGAUGCUCCAUGAACUCUGCACAAACAUAAGGAACUGCUUAUGUGGAGGAGGUUGCAGAAUCAGGGCCUGAAUAUUUUUUUGCAUGUGGCUGCCCAGCUGAAGUGUUUUUGGCUGAAGACUUGCAGACACAUCAGGAAGAGAAAUGUACUUAAUUGUGAACAGAAACCUCACAUCACUAGAGACUGG